rnacentral:rRNA from 1 species
UACGUAGGGUGCGAGCGUUAAUCGGAAUUACUGGGCGUAAAGCGUGCGCAGGCGGUGAGCUGUGUCCGAUGUGAAAGCCCCGGGCUUAACCUGGGAAUGGCAUUGGAAACUGGCUCGCUGGAGUGUGGCAGAGGGGGGUGGAAUUCCGCGUGUAGCAGUGAAAUGCGUAGAGAUGUGGAGGAAUACCGAUGGCGAAGGCGGCCCCUGGGCCGGCCCUGACACUCGAGACGCGAAGGCGUGGGGAGCGAACGGG